rnacentral:rRNA from 1 species
CCUUCCGGGGCCCUCUUUUUCCUUCUUUCCUUUUUUUCCCUUUCUCUCCUUCUUCCUUUCCCUUCAGUGGUUAAAUCCUACAGCUUAACUGUAGAACUGCCUUUGAUACUUUCAUUCUUGAGUUCGGGAGAGAGAGACGGAAUUCCAGGUGUAGUGGUGAAAUACGUAGAUAUCUGGAAGAACACCAGUUGCGAAGGCGGUCUCUUGGUCCGAUACUGACGCUGAGGCGCAAAAGCGUGGGGAGCAAACAG